rnacentral:lncRNA from 13 species
ACUGGCUGCUCAGUGGUGCCAGGAAGGGGAGGAGGCAAUCAGCACUUUUCCUUAUCAGCCCCUGAGGGACCCAGGUUGAUUAAGCUGCUUUCAGUGGUAUCUGUUGGGACUCUCCAAGAUGCUGGGUUGCUAUAAGUCUCUGAAAAUAAUAAAUAUUUAAUAUUACAGUCAGGUUCAUGGGCUUAGCUUUACCACUUAUUCAUCAUGAGAACUUAGGCAAUUUCUCUGAGCCUCAAUUUACUUACAUCUAAAAUGAGUAUAAGUAUUAUAAUUAACAUAUUGAGUUAUUGUGAGAAUUCAAGUAUUUAAUACUUGAAAAGGGCUUAAGACAGUUUAAAUAAAUACAUGCUACUAUUCUCAUCUUCAGGUUCAGCAUGCACAUAGAGGAGAGCACAGAAAGACUAGGAGAUAAGAAGUAAUGGACGGAUGGAGUCGGUGUGCUGCUCUCUAUAAACACAGGCAAAACCUUGGACAGGCUGAGUGUUGCAGAAAAUAUGAAAUGAAUCUGAAGCCAGUGAAUCCACGGAAUUCUUCUUUCCGGCAUGUGAAUAUAUGAAAGACAGACUGAAGAGUGGCAACCAAAAUCCAGAAGGCUGGAGACAUUUCUGCCAUUCACAGAAUUUAUGAAAAUCCCCUGUCUGGA